UACGGAGGAUCCGAGCGUUAUCCGGAAUGAUUGGGCGUAAAGGGUGCGUAGGCGGCCUGCUAAGUCUGGAGUGAAAGGUACCGGCUCAACCGGUACAGGCUCUGGAAACUGGCGGGCUAGAGAGCAGGAGAGGGCGGUGGAACUCCAUGUGUAGCGGUAAAAUGCGUAGAUAUACGGAGGAACACCAGUGGCGAAGGCGGCCUGCUGGACAAUAACUGACGCUGAGGCGCGAAAGCGUGGGGAGCAAACAGG
rnacentral:rRNA from 1 species